UAAAACAUAAAAGUGAGAAUUUGCUUCGAAAUACGAAUUUCUCAUUUGUCGUCGAAAGACCAAAAAUUUAAGAUAAAACAGAUAACAGGUAAUUAAAAAUUAACAUAA